UCCAUAGGUUAAUGAGGCGAACCGGGGGAACUGAAACAUCUAAGUACCCCGAGGAAAAGAAAUCAACCGAGAUUCCCCCAGUAGCGGCGAGCGAACGGGGAGGAGCCCAGAGCCUGAAUCAGCAUGUGUGUUAGUGGAAGCGUCUGGAAAGGCGCGCGAUACAGGGUGACAGCCCCGUACACAAAAGCGCAUGUGCUGUGAGCUCGAUGAGUAGGGCGGGACACGUGGUAUCCUGUCUGAAUAUGGGGGGACCAUCCUCCAAGGCUAAAUACUCCUGACUGACCGAUAGUGAACCAGUACCGUGAGGGAAAGGCGAAAAGAACCCCGGCGAGGGGAGUGAAAAAGAACCUGAAACCGUGUACGUACAAGCAGUGGGAGCACCCUUCGGGGUGUGACUGCGUACCUUUUGUAUAAUGGGUCAGCGACUUAUAUUCUGUAGCAAGGUUAACCGUAUAGGGGAGCCGGAGGGAAACCGAGUCUUAAUUGGGCGUUAAGUUGCAGGGUAUAGACCCGAAACCCGGUGAUCUAGCCAUGGGCAGGUUGAAGGUUGGGUAACACUAACUGGAGGACCGAACCGACUAAUGUUGAAAAAUUAGCGGAUGACCUGUGGCUGGGGGUGAAAGGCCAAUCAAACCGGGAGAUAGCUGGUUCUCCCCGAAAGCUAUUUAGGUAGCGCCUCGUGAAUUCAUCUCCGGGGGUAGAGCACUGUUUCGGCUAGGGGGCCAUCCCGGCUUACCAACCCGAUGCAAACUGCGAAUACCGGAGAAUGUUAUCACGGGAGACACACGGCGGGUGCUAACGUCCGUCGUGAAGAGGGAAACAACCCAGACCGCCAGCUAAGGUCCCAAAGUCAUGGUUAAGUGGGAAACGAUGUGGGAAGGCCCAGACAGCCAGGAUGUUGGCUUAGAAGCAGCCAUCAUUUAAAGAAAGCGUAAUAGCUCACUGGUCGAGUCGGCCUGCGCGGAAGAUGUAACGGGGCUAAACCAUGCACCGAAGCUGCGGCAGCGAACGUAUCACCCAAGACAACUUUACGGAGUUGACGAUUGACGGAGCGAAGCGACGUCAAAGCGUUCAUUAAAGUCGAGUUGGCUUAGGGAUACGUUCGUUGGGUAGGGGAGCGUUCUGUAAGCCUGUGAAGGUGUGUCGUGAGGCAUGCUGGAGGUAUCAGAAGUGCGAAUGCUGACAUAAGUAACGAUAAAGCGGGUGAAAAGCCCGCUCGCCGGAAGACCAAGGGUUCCUGUCCAACGUUAAUCGGGGCAGGGUGAGUCGACCCCUAAGGCGAGGCCGAAAGGCGUAGUCGAUGGGAAACGGGUUAAUAUUCCCGUACUUGGUGUUACUGCGAAGGGGGGACGGAGAAGGCUAUGUUGGCCGGGCGACGGUUGUCCCGGUUUAAGCGUGUAGGUGUGUGUUCCAGGUAAAUCCGGUUCACUUUAACACUGAGGCGUGACGACGAGGCACUACGGUGCUGAAGCAACAAAUGCCCUGCUUCCAGGAAAAGCCUCUAAGCAUCAGGUAACAUCAAAUCGUACCCCAAACCGACACAGGUGGUCAGGUAGAGAAUACCAAGGCGCUUGAGAGAACUCGGGUGAAGGAACUAGGCAAAAUGGUGCCGUAA
rnacentral:rRNA from 1 species